rnacentral:tmRNA from 1 species
CUAAAACACACGGAAUCGCCGCUUGUUUUCCCUGCCGUUCGGGUAACAACCGGUUAAAACAAUAGAGUCGGCUAAGCAUGUAGAACCGACGGCAGAGAGCUUGCGGACGCGGGUUCGAUUCCCGCCACCUCCACCA